rnacentral:rRNA from 1 species
AUUGAACGCUGGCGGCAUGCCUUACACAUGCAAGUCGAACGGCAGCGCGGACUUCGGUCUGGCGGCGAGUGGCGAACGGGUGAGUAAUGUAUCGGAACGCACCAUUCAGUGGGGGAUAACGCAGCGAAAGUUGCGCUAAUACCGCAUAUUCUGUGCGCAGGAAAGCAGGGGAUCGCAAGACCUUGCGCUGAUUGAGCGGCCGAUAUCAGAUUAGCUAGUUGGUGAGGUAAAGGCUCACCAAGGCGACGAUCUGUAGCGGGUCUGAGAGGAUGAUCCGCCACACUGGGACUGAGACACGGUCCAGACUCCUACGGGAGGCAGCAGUGGGGAAUUUUGGACAAUGGGCGCAAGCCUGAUCCAGCCAUGCCGCGUGAGUGAAGAAGGCCUUCGGGUUGUAAAGCUCUUUCGGCCGGGAAGAAAUCGUAUGGGUUAAUACCCUGUGCGGAUGACGGUACCGGCAUAAGAAGCACCGGCUAACUACGUGCCAGCCGCCGCGGUAAAAC